CAGGAUAGGUACAGCACAGGCAGCAACAAUGCAAGGUUUUACCACAUAAACCCAUCUUGUGUACCUUAACUCUGACCUAGAGGGACCCCAUCUAGA
rnacentral:sRNA from 1 species